GACGAACGCUGGCGGCGUGCUUAACACAUGCCAGUCGAACGGAAAGGCCCUGCUUUUGUGGGGUGCUCGAGUGGCGAACGGGUGAGUAACACGUGAGUAACCUGCCCGUGACUUUGGGAUAACUUCAGGAAACUGGGGCUAAUACCGGAUAGGAGCUCCUGCUGCAUGGUGGGGGUUGGAAAGUUUCGGCGGUUGGGGAUGGACUCGCGGCUUAUCAGCUUGUUGGUGGGGUAGUGGCUUACCAAGGCUUUGACGGGUAGCCGGCCUGAGGGGUGACCGGCCACAUUGGGACUGAGAUACGGCCCAGACUCCUACGGGAGGCAGCAGUGGGGAAUAUUGCACAAUGGGCGGAAGCCUGAUGCAGCAACGCCGCGUGCGGGAUGACGGCCUUCGGGUUGUAAACCGCUUUCGCCUGUGACGAAGCGUGAGUGACGGUAAUGGGUAAAGAAGCACCGGCUAACUACGUG
rnacentral:rRNA from 1 species